ensembl:lncRNA
UGUCACUACUCUGAGGAGGGGGAUCACAGCUCAAACAACUCAUGAACUGUCUCAGAUUAACCUGAUUUUGUGAAGAAUACCACAUUCCAUUGACAUAUCAAAUGCAAGCUAGAAGUGCUUUGUUCGUUUAGCAACCCAGAUUCCUGCAGUUUAUGGGAAGAUAUCCAACACUAUGGGGCCUUGAAAUCAUGCUGGAGAUUGCUCUCUCUGAUAAGUCUGAGGAUCAGCUACAGAUAGUUCUUUUGCCCACUCCUCCCUCUCAUCUGACAAGGCAAGAAGAAGAGAAAAAAAAAGAGGAAAAAAAAGAGAAAAAGAGAAAUAGAGAAAUGGAGUAAAAGAGAAAAGAAAAAAGGAAAAAAAAGAGGAAAAAAAAGAAAAAAAAGGGCCAAGGAAGCCAAAUCUUCUACAAACGUUCACUCUUCACACAGGAUAAAAACUGAAGGUACAUGCUCUUUCCUGUCAGAUAACAAUCCCUCAUACCCAGCAAGUCACUGAAAGGGACCCUAAGACUUCAUUUGUCAACCAAAGACUGUUGCACAAGGAGGCUGGAGAUAGUGACCUUCUCCCAGUGCACUCUGCUUAGCUGGUGCUCUGUACUGAGCCUUCUGCAAAUCUAGGUGCAGUGUGGCUGUUCAAAGCUCAAGCCUCACACCAGAGCUUUCUUACAAUUCUCAACCUUAAAAAAAAAAAAAAAAAAAGACUGAAAAAGGAGAAAAGAUAAAAAACUGGAGCCAAAAGCUGACCUACAGCAAGAACCUUGAGUUUCUUUUUAAUAUAUCUAAAAAUGAAUAUGGAAAGAAUUACAGCAAAUAACUAUUUGAUUUUUCAUGCAAGUCAAAGAUUAUAUACACACGUACUUAAAAAUAUCUUUUGCAUGGGCUAAUGGAAAUCUUUAGGCAACUUUAAUUUAGCUGCUGUUAACAUUGCUGCUACAACAGACUUGAGUGCAAAGUGCAUUGUAAAUACUAGAGCUGUUUAUAACCUGAAGGGCAAAUUCAAAUCCUGUUUAAUUUCCUCACCGUUGUUCAUAAAACAGUCAUUUCAAGAAUAGAAGCAUGAUGUGCAAACAUAGCAAAUCUCUCACUUUUAUCACCGCAUCAGAACAAACCAGCCCUCUUUUCCAGCUUCAUUACCAUUUUUGGAAGUGAGAGAAAAUGUUACUCCUAAUGAUAGAGAGGGACUUCUGACAAUCCAGAGCUGCUCGGGCUUAACAAGUCUCUCUCAGAUGUCACAAAUUAUUUGUGUUAUACUUCUCAGCACUGAAAGCUAUGAGUGGCUGUUCACUGCCCUACCCUGCUGACUGGCAAGGCAGCACAGCAGAGUUGUGGCUGUUGGUACCAGAGGCUGCUGACAUUUGAGAGCAGGAGAACCCGAGGGACCCAACAGAGAAGUUGACACUUUUUUGACAAAAAUAAGUAGUUGCUAAAAAUAACUGGUUGUAUGUACUCACAGGGCUCCAGGCCUGUUUGUGAAUGAUUCACACACAUGAAAAGGAGCCAGAUUCAUGGAUGCAUGAGGUCGUUGCAGUUAGGUCAUGGGCUGUCCUCACACUGAAUUGUGCAAAGUAUGCUUUGUACAACAGACAUAGAUGGAAAUAAUCUGAUAGCUUUUUCACUCAGAAAGAUCAUAGAAGGUCUAGGAUGUUUGAAAUCUAUUACAAAAACAAAA